AAGCCGCUGGAGCGUGCGUAACGAGGUCUGCUGGGGAGACUGGAGAGCGAGGUGCAGCAUCCAUCACAGGCGCCCCAUCUUCACGGGUGUCUAGUCCUUUCCGAGCACUUGUCUAGCGAUGUCGGGGACUACCUGCAGCACCCGGCGAGGCUCUUGACAGUUGCUACUCGGGAUUUCAAACAGCAUCAAGGGGGAACUGGAGGGUGUUGGGUGAGGCUCGCCAGUAGGAACCCAAAGAGCGCUGCACAGGAACACGGAGCAGAUCUGGUCUUUGCUUCCUACCUGGGGAUGGACUAACUUCCUGACCUUAACCUACUAACCUAAGCGCGGGGUCAGACCUGGCACCGUCGUUCUUCCCUCAGUGGCCUUCCGAGGCUCAGAUCGAUGUUGUUUCCAAAAUGGAACAAAUUCAAGUCGCCAGCUCUCCGCUGGGAGGACUAAAAAGCUUCAAGACCGGUUAGAUUUCCGUUUGACGGUCUGAGAGUUUGCGCAUGUCGUUGUCUCCUGGGUGUUAUUAGAGUGGAGUCCAGGAGCAGAGCCACACUGGGCACUAUCUAUACACGUGUGUCUGUGCCUGCUUCUCUUUUCCCAGUAUCCAGAUGGCCAGGCGGGGACCAGCACGCUCCAUUUCACUCCUGUCCUGCAUGCACUGGAGCACAGAAGGAAGAAAGAAAAGGACCAAGGAAACCAAGAACUAGACAAACACGAGGGUCCAGAGCUCCCUUUGUAUAGCACAGUGCACAGUGCUGGCGUUGGGACUGGCAUGGCUCUGUACAAGGUGGGCAGACAAACUCCAGACAUCAGCUACAGUUUUCUCAGGGCUACUGAGAAGUUCCGGAGAUGGAUACAGAUGCCAGUGGCACAGUAAUGAUUAUAUUUAGUGUCCUGCAGAGUACCUUGAAGAGUGGGUUAUAUGGGUAAAUUUGAUGUCACGUAGAGGAUUAGAAAGGUGUGCUCAUUUCUCUCCAAGGCAUAACCAGAAGGGACACACCCCUUUCCCACCAUGGUCCAUUGACUAUAAUCCAUGCUGUGAAGGAGGCUUGGAGAAGUAAUGCCCAGCUGGGAAGAGAGUAGAGCAACACAGACCGGGGAAGACCUGGAGAUCCAUGAGUGAAAAGAGAAAAGUUAAUGUGCCGGAGGAACGCGUGGCCAGGUGACCCCUUUGAGUGGGCCGUUGGAAGUAGCUCUCGUGGCCAUGCCUAGGUGCUGAGACCUCAGUUAGGAGCAGCCACUCAAAGCCCAAGAAGGUCUCUGGCUUACUGACUGGUGAAGAUUGAAGGUGAGCUGGAAACAGUGCUGUUUAUAAGAUACAGCAGCAGGAAGGAGCGUCAGACUGCACUGUGCUCGGUGUCCCAGCUUAAAGUACCAUGGGGAUGAGGAAGCUCUCUGGGGUCAUCGGAAAUGGGGUUCAUCAAGUGCGUCGGCAAGGCUUCCAGGGAGUGCUGCUAACCACGUUCACAGAUCAUUCUCUUUAUCAACUAGCUUCUCGUUGUCACAUGUUCUGGUUAAUUUUUUUCCCGUUAUAAGCUAGAAUCGCCUGGAAAGAGGGAACCUCAACUGAGAAAAUGCCUCUGUCUGACCUAUAGACAAGCAUGUGGAGCUAUUUUCUUGAUUACUGAUUGAUGUGGGAGAGUCCAUGCCACUGUGAGUGGUAUCACCCCUGGGUAGGUGGUCCUGGUUUUAUAGAAAUGUAGGCUGAGCAAUACAUAGGGAGAGAGCAGUUCCUUCUUGGUCCCUGCUUCAGCGGCUGCCUUGGCUUCCCUCUCAACAAUGAGUUGAUAUGCCCCGCUGUUGCUGCUGAUUCUGUUGCUGCUAUUAGACCUAGCCUUUCCCAGUGUUCAGUGUGGGGCCAGCAGCUCUCCAGGAACCUCUGGGCUUCAGCACCAGGUUGGUAAUGGCCAGUUGUCACCUCCCUACAAUGAGAGACAGUCAUUACGGGAACUAUAACUGCUGAGGCACCUAGCCUUGAAGAUUGAGUGGAUACUGCAUUCUCUGCUCUCAGGUGUGAUGGCUGCUGUUGUUAUAUUAAAAUAUUUUAAGUUAUUAG